GUGGGGAAUUUUGGACAAUGGGCGAAAGCCUGAUCCAGCCAUGCCGCGUGUGUGAAGAAGGUCUUCGGAUUGUAAAGCACUUUAAGUUGGGAGGAAGGGCAGUAAGUUAAUACCUUGCUGUUUUGACGUUACCAACAGAAUAAGCACCGGCUAACUUCGUGCCAGCAGCCGCGGUAAUACGAAGGGUGCAAGCGUUAAUCGGAAUUACUGGGCGUAAAGCGCGCGUAGGUGGUUCAGCAAGUUGGAGGUGAAAUCCCCGGGCUCAACCUGGGAACUGCCUCCAAAACUACUGAGCUAGAGUACGGUAGAGGGUAGUGGAAUUUCCUGUGUAGCGGUGAAAUGCGUAGAUAUAGGAAGGAACACCAGUGGCGAAGGCGACUACCUGGACUGAUACUGACACUGAGGUGCGAAAGCGUGGGGAGCAAACAGGAUUAGAUACCCGUGUAGUCC
rnacentral:rRNA from 1 species